AUGGAGUCACAGAUCCAGGUCCUCAUGACCCUACUGCUUUGGAUGUCUGGUGCCUGUGCAGACAUCGUGAUGACCCAGUCUCCAUCCUCCGUGGCUGUGUCACUGGGAGAGAAGGUCACCAUCAGCUGCAAGUCCAGUCAGAGUCUUUAUUCAAGCUUAUUCCAGAAGAACAGAUUAGCCUGGUACCAACAGAAACUGGGACAGUCCUCCCCACUCCUCAUCUAUAAAGCAUCCAACCUAGAAUCUGGGGUCCCUGCCAGGUUCAGUGGCAGUGGGUCUGGCACAGACUUUGCCCUCACCAUCCAUCCUGUGGAAGCUGAUGAUGCUGCAACCUAUUACUGUCAACAGACUAGGAAGCUUCCUCCCACAGUGCUCCAGGGCUCCACAAAAACCUCCUAG